AUUUAUAAUUAGAAAUGCCGAAUGUAUAUAAGCAGGUUGAUCAGUUUACCAUCGAAAUUAGCAAGUGGGAGGAUGAACUUCAACUCAUCCUUCUACGGAAUUACUCUCCUAACGAUUUUCUAAAUAACUUCCCCCUUUUUGUGGACUACAUUUUUAGCGCUAGUGAACGUUUUUGUUUUCUCACUCAAGAUGGCACUAACAGAAUUUUAAACAUACUGGGCAGUGAUGGGCUUUUAUUUGGCUUAUUUUCC